rnacentral:rRNA from 1 species
UGCAGUCGUACGCUUCUUUUUCCACCGGAGCUUGCUCCACCGGAAAAAGAAGAGUGGCGAACGGGUGAGUAACACGUGGGUAACCUGCCCAUCAGAAGGGGAUAACACUUGGAAACAGGUGCUAAUACCGUAUAACAAUCGAAACCGCAUGGUUUUGAUUUGAAAGGCGCUUUCGGGUGUCGCUGAUGGAUGGACCCGCGGUGCAUUAGCUAGUUGGUGAGGUAACGGCUCACCAAGGCCACGAUGCAUAGCCGACCUGAGAGGGUGAUCGGCCACAUUGGGACUGAGACACGGCCCAAACUCCUACGGGAGGCAGCAGUAGGGAAUCUUCGGCAAUGGACGAAAGUCUGACCGAGCAACGCCGCGUGAGUGAAGAAGGUUUUCGGAUCGUAAAACUCUGUUGUUAGAGAAGAACAAGGAUGAGAGUAACUGUUCAUCCCUUGACGGUAUCUAACCAGAAAGCCACGGCUAACUACGUGCCAGCAGCCGCGGUAAUACGUAGGUGGCAAGCGUUGUCCGGAUUUAUUGGGCGUAAAGCGAGCGCAGGCGGUUUCUUAAGUCUGAUGUGAAAGCCCCCGGCUCAACCGGGGAGGGUCAUUGGAAACUGGGAGACUUGAGUGCAGAAGAGGAGAGUGGAAUUCCAUGUGUAGCGGUGAAAUGCGUAGAUAUAUGGAGGAACACCAGUGGCGAAGGCGGCUCUCUGGUCUGUAACUGACGCUGAGGCUCGAAAGCGUGGGGAGCAAACAGGAUUAGAUACCCUGGUAGUCCACGCCGUAAACGAUGAGUGCUAAGUGUUGGAGGGUUUCCGCCCUUCAGUGCUGCAGCUAACGCAUUAAGCACUCCGCCUGGGGAGUACGACCGCAAGGUGA